UACGGGGGGGGCAAGCGUUGUUCGGAAUUACUGGGCGUAAAGGGCGCGUAGGCGGUUUGCUAAGUUGGAUGUGAAAACUCUGGGCUUAACCCAGAGCCUGCAUCCAAAACUGGCAAACUUGAGUACUGGAGGGGAAAGCGGAAUUCCUGGUGUAGCGGUGAAAUGCGUAGAUAUCAGGAGGAACACCGGUGGCGAAGGCGGGUUGCUGGGCCGACACUGACGCUGAAGCGCGAAAGCCAGGGGAGCGAACGGG
rnacentral:rRNA from 1 species